AACGUAGGAGACAAACGUUAUCCGGAGUUACUGGGCGUAAAGGGCGUGUAGGUGGUUACGUAAGUCUGGCGUGAAAUUUUUCGGCUUAACCGGGAAAGGUCGUCGGAUACUGCGGGACUAGAGGACGGUAGAGGCGUGUGGAAUUCCGGGUGUAGUGGUGAAAUUCGUAGAUAUUCGCAAGAACACCAGUGGCGAAGGCGGCUCACUGGCCCGGAACUGACGCUGAGGUGCGAAAGCGUGGGGAGCAAACAGG
rnacentral:rRNA from 1 species